rnacentral:misc_RNA from 1 species
GAUGAAGAACGCAGCGAAAUGCGAUAAGUAAUGUGAAUUGCAGAAUUCAGUGAAUCAUCGAAUCUUUGAACGCACAUUGCGCCCCCUGGUAUUCCGGGGGGCAUGCCUGUCCGAGCGUCAUUGCUGCCCUCAAGCACGGCUUGUGUGUUGGGCCUCCGUCCUCCUCCCGGGGGACGGGCCCGAAAGGCAGCGGCGGCACCGCGUCCGGUCCUCGAGCGUAUGGGGCUUCGUCACCCGCUCUUGUAGGCCCGGCCGGCGCUUGCCGACACAUCAAUCUUUUUUCCAGGUUGACCUCGGAUCAGGUAGGGAUACCCGCUGAACUUAAGCAUAUCAAUAAGCGGAGGA